ACCUGAUGGAACUUAAUGGAGGGGGUAAGUUCAUAUUAUUAUUAUGUGCUAUCUUCCAUUUCAUACUACUUUUCUUGCAUUUCUUAAGUAGAGGGAUCAAGGUAACUAACUAAACAAUAUUAGGUGGAUAGAAUUUAAGUUCUUAAUUUUGAAGAUCAAGGAGAGGAAUCCUAAGCACAAAGCCUAAUUUCUCUCCUUUCUUGGUUCUUGCACUAAGUAGCAGCAUCUAGUGAUGGUCCAGUUAAUUUCCUCUAGCACUCAUGCUUUCUUUGUAAAUGUUUGAGAAUUUUUAAGUUCCCUUGGAUAUCAUUCACUCAGUUGUGGUAUACAAUGUUUAAACUUAACCCAUUAUAUUGUUUUCUUUGUAAAUGUAGUUCAGUUAGUAUUUGUUAUUGGAGUUUCAGUUGAUGGCAUCAUUUUCAAAUUUAUUGAUCAUUUUGGUAAUUCCCUUCUUGCAUAAAAUUCUCUCUAGUUUUUGGCUCUUCUGGAAAUGG
rnacentral:misc_RNA from 1 species